CCUCUUUCAUAGCUGCACGAAAAACCCUAUAUCAGAUGCGCUGACUUGUUCAGCUAUGGUGAUAAACGGCGCGUGGAAUAAUCGUUGUGGACCCGGGGGCGGUACCCGGCGCCUCCACCAUCCUCUAUCCUGAGGGGGCGAAAUAGGCUCGACACGCGUGGUAAAGACCCGCCUUUUGCCCGGCAUGGUUCCGCCGAUAUCGGGCCAUAUCACAGGUGCCAACGAUAACGGUACUUUUGCUGUUGCUGCGUAAGCAAUAAGCGCGGUUAGGGGGGCCCCGAGCAACAGAAUGCCCCCCACU
rnacentral:tmRNA from 1 species